GUAACUGGCUGUUUCUUCCACUGCAGACCAAGAGCGUAGGCUCCCAGCUUACUGCGAAGUGGAAAUGAGAGGCAGGAACAAGAAUCCAUACUGAUUAGAAGGGGAGAGGUCCAGCGCUAUUUUCCUGCCAGGAAGAGUGUGUGCCAUGAGACAUGAAUUUCAGCUGGUAGUUAUAGCUCUCACAGGCUCACAGGAAAACACUGUGGAGGAUCCUGCUCGGUCCUUUUGCACAUUCGUCCCUCCCAAUUUUGCUGAUUUGGGACUGCUCACUCCUGAAAAGAAGGGAGUCUCUCAGUCACGGUGGCAUUAAUAAAUA